rnacentral:rRNA from 1 species
GGGCUCACACAAGCGGUGGAGCAUGUGGCUCAAUUCGAAGCAACGCGAAGAACCUUAUCCUAGGUUUGACAUGUAUGGAUUAGUCCCGAGAAACCGGGAUGACACUCUUGUAGUGGAACAUACACAGGUGCUGCAUGGCUGUCGUCAGCUCGUGCUGUGAAGUGUCGGGUUAAGUCCCUUAACGAGCGAAACCCCUAUCACUAGUUGCGAACAGGUCAAGCUGCGGACUCUAGUGAGACUGCCGGUGUUAAACCGGACGAAGGUGGGGAUGACGUCAAGUCCUCAUGGCCUUUAUGCCUAGGGCUGCACACGUGCUACAAUGGCGCGCACAGAACGAUGCAAGACCGCAAGGUGGAGCAAAUCGCUUCAAAACGCGCCCCAGUUCGGAUAGAGGGCUGCAACCCGCCCUCUUGAAGUCGGAAUCGCUAGUAAUCGCGGAUCAGCUACGCCGCGGUGAAUAUGUUCCUGAGCCUU